AACGGAACGCUGGAAUGGAUGCUGGCCAAAUACACGAUCGCCGUGCUCCCCGAUCCCCCAAUUCGCGCAAUGAAUGAGCUCAGACCAACUCCAAAAUUCCUACAGAGUAAAAGAAGAAUUUGACCGAAACUGCAUUAGGUUUGCCCUUCUAACAUACCUCGCAAUUGGGAACGACAUGGAAAGCACCAAGCAUACAAUGACUUUCCAACUUCCUCCCACAAUUUCAGAGACCCACACAAACGCGACGGUGUAGACUGAUAUGGAUGACAUCCCUGAGGUUGAAGCACGAAAUUGGUUCAGUCUCGUACCGAUGGUUCUUACUUAGCUCAUAUGAUUACCAACAAUGAACCACAUGAUGGAGAAUGUCAUAAUGUUGGGCAUCAGAGUAAUUAUGAUCCCGGAGCAAAACAACAGUUGGCUGAAGAUGGUGAUGGCUUGCUUUCGUCCAAAAUUAUCGGAAACCACGCCAGCCAGAAAGGUUCCAAUGGCAUAUCCACCGAAGAGGCUCAGCUUGGAUAAGGCUAGAAAUACAGAGGACUACAGAUUUGACACAUUGCGUUAUUUGAACAUAAAUGAUAAAAUUAUUCAUAUGAACAAAUUUGUUCGUACUGGAUCAAAGUGCUGUAAGGGUGACGAACUUACGUUCCCAAUAGUGUUUCUCACAAACCAAGCCAUAUCGCAUGGUGACCGUGUUUUGAAAAAUGGAUCUAUCAAAGACAUAUUUUGGACAGCCUUCCUCGCAUUGGUUGAUGGUCUCAUUCGAUUGUCCGUUGGCUUCACACCAGAAAUCCUCCUUGACGGUGGCAAAGAUCAUUGCAAAGAUAUGAGCGCAUCCCGGUAAACUCAAGAAGAACAUCAAGGCCACGCGUUUUAUCUGCCAAGCUCCAAAUGUGUCCAAGAUGUCCCCAAUCUUGAUAGUCGAUCCAGGAUUCUUCGGAUUGAGAUCGGUUUCUUCGUUUGCAGGCUCGACACUUUCGAUGUUAAGCCUUGCCAUUUUGCUAGGAUACUGAUGCAAGUAUCAAGUUUGUACUGAAGUAGUGCUAUAUACUGUCAGGUGCGGAUGGAUUGCGCGAGGCCCCGCAUAAUGAAGUUGCCCACAGACCUCUAUCACUAGAGAUCGAUGAUCUUCCCAUUAUUUGAAGGCUUCGUUUGUGAGUUAAUCAACAAUUCGCAAUGAUAUACAAUAUUAUUCAAGGACUUCGCCACGACCUGAAAAUAAAAACGCGCGAAAUAUGAUUUGUUUAUACGCCA